UAAGCCUGCGAAGGUGGCCUGUGAGGGUUGCUGGAGGUAUCAGAAGUGCGAAUGCUGACAUAAGUAACGAUAAAGCGGGUGAAAAGCCCGCUCGCCGGAAGACCAAGGGUUCCUGUCCAACGUUAAUCGGGGCAGGGUGAGUCGACCCCUAAGGCGAGGCCGAAAGGCGUAGUCGAUGGGAAACGGGUUAAUAUUCCCGUACUUGGUGUUACUGCGAAGGGGGGACGGAGAAGGCUAUGUUGGCCGGGCGACGGUUGUCCCGGUUUAAGCGUGUAGGUGUGUGUUCCAGGUAAAUCCGGUUCACUUUAACACUGAGGCGUGACGACGAGGCACUACGGUGCUGAAGCAACAAAUGCCCUGCUUCCAGGAAAAGCCUCUAAGCAUCAGGUAACAUCAAAUCGUACCCCAAACCGACA
rnacentral:rRNA from 1 species